AACUCCUCUUUUAGAAAUUACAUAGUGCCUAUGGUAGGAUUUUUAAAAAUACAAUUAUUUCCAAUUAUAGAAAUAUGAGAAUCAUGUAACUAUGAUAAUAUAUGAUACAUGUUCAUUGUAAGAAAAUUUAACAAAAACAGAGAAGACAAAGAUAAAUGAAUAAAAACAUUUAAUAAUAUUCAUAGUUUUUCCAUGAAUUGAUGAUUGUGUUUCUUACUCUGUGAUAGUCUCAGUAUCCUCAGUUGUAAAAUGAAGAUAAUAACAACCACCUUAUCGGGUUGUUUUAUGUGUUGUGUAGAAAGCAUGUGUGGAGAGACUAACAGACCCNNNNNNNNNNAAAAAAAAAACCCUAAAUCCAAUUGACUAAUGUUAGAGAAGAAAUUUAUAAAAUUCAACAUAUCUGGUAAGCUACCUACCAAAAGGAAAAUCAGGAGCAGGUAGUGAGAAAUCACCCAAUAUAAUCUCACAACCUUGUUAAAACUGUGAGAUCAUUAUCCCAUUGCCAGUUGUUCCCAAGAAAUGGGCCUCUUCUUAAAUAU
rnacentral:lncRNA from 1 species